rnacentral:rRNA from 1 species
UGGCGUCGAGUGGCGGACGGGUGAGUAACGCGUAGGAAUCUACCUAGUAGUGGGGGAUAGCCCGAAGAAAUUCGGAUUAAUACCGCAUAAUCUAUUCGUAGUAAAGUGGGGGACUUUCGAGCCUCACGCUAUUAGAUGAGCCUGCGUAAGAUUAGCUUGUUGGUAGGGUAAAAGCCUACCAAGGCUACGAUCUUUAGCUGGUCUGAGAGGAUGAUCAGCCACAUCGGGACUGAGACACGGCCCGAACUCCUACGGGAGGCAGCAGUGGGGAAUAUUGGACAAUGGGGGCAACCCUGAUCCAGCAAUACCGCGUGUGUGAAGAAGGCCUGAGGGUUGUAAAGCACUUUCAAUUGGAAGAAAAGUUAGCGGUUAAUAACCGUUAGCCUUGACGUUAACUUAGAAGAAGCACCGGCUAACUCCG